GUGUCAGCCGCCGCGGUAAAACGUAGGACGCGAGCGUUAUCCGGAUUUACUGGGCGUAAAGCGCAUGCAGGCGGCCUUGUAAGUCGGAUGUGAAAUCUCCCGGCUCAACUGGGAGGCGUCAUUCGAUACUGCAAGGCUUGAGGGCAGGAGAGGGGAGUGGAAUUCCCGGUGUAGUGGUGAAAUGCGUAGAUAUCAAGAGGAACGCCGGUGGUGAAGACGACGCACUGGGCCUGCCCUGACGCUGAGACACGAAAGCGUGGGGAGCAAACAGGAUUAGAUACCCUGGUAGUCCACGCCCUAAACGAUGUCUACUAGGUUGUGGCCGUUCCGACGCGGUCACGGCCGAAGCGAAAGUGUUAAGUAGACCGCCUGGGGAGUACGGUCGCAAGGCUAAAACUUAAAGGAAUUGACGGGG
rnacentral:rRNA from 1 species